UUCUACACAGACACUCCAGGUUCUUUUGGUUCUCAAUCUUUAUCACUUUCCAGUGCAUGCAUAUAUAUUUGAGAACAUCAUUGGACGUUAUACCUAAGACGGAUGUCUUACAUGUAAAACAGAAAAAUAUUGUACAGGGGGUUCUCCAGGUCUUCAAGGUUCCGCAGACAUCCUGGCUUACGAGACUACUGCGCAUAAGCCAAUUCAAAAAAGUUUAUAUAACCCGUCCCAAUUACGUCGAUUUACCAUUCGGCUCUGCACUUGCGGAUUCAAUCAGGAUUGGAUCAGGCCAAGAUUGCCCGGCGGGCUUCGAGUGUCCUGCAGGUAUACUUGGUCAGCCAUGACGGUCAAAACAAAAAGAGAAACUUGGAACGGCGUGGCCAUAGCGCCGUUGGAUCUCGUUCUCCCGGUACCCCGCCGACCCUUCGGACACAGUGGCCAGUGGCCGGCGGCUGUUCUUACGGGUACUCCCACUUCAGCUCUCCUGCGUAGAUAGAGUUACGUAACCUUCGCGGUGCUUGGUCCAACCUGGUCACCGGCCAACCGAGUUUGGAUGUAGGUGCUGUCCACGUCCAGAAUUUUGUCGUGAAUGAGGUUCUCUGCUGAAAAUCUGGCCCCAGCCUUUACAUCGGCAUCAAUAAAUCAGAUGGAAGUGGAUCAUAAAUUAUAAUGAGGCUGAACGUUAGUGACAUUAACCUAACGAAAUGUCGGGGAAAAAUUGUUACAGCGCAAUUUUAGAAUGGAUUUUUAAGGAGCUGGUUUUUCAAAAUAAAAGUAUGUCUUGGUUA